rnacentral:rRNA from 1 species
UACAGAGGUCUCGAGCGUUAGGCGGAAUCACUGGGCUUAAAGCGUGUGUAGGCGGAUCGUUAAGUACCUUGUGAAAUCCCACGGCUUAACCGUGGAACUGCUUGGUAUACUGGCGGUCUUGAGCCAGCUAGGGGCUACCGGAACAAAUGGUGGAGCGGUGAAAUGCGUUGAGAUCGGAAGGAACGCCCGUGGCGAAAGCGAGGUCCUGGACGCCUACUGACGCUGAGACGCGAAAGCCAGGGGAGCGAACGGG